rnacentral:rRNA from 1 species
ACUACCCUACGGGACGCAGCAGUAGGGAAUCUUCGGUAAUGGGCGAAAGUCUGACCGAGCAACGCCGCGUGAGUGAAGAAGGUUUUCGGAUCGUAAAACUCUGCUGGUAGAGAAGAACGUUGGUGAGAGUGGAAAGCUCAUCAAGUGACGGUAACUACCCAGAAAGGGACGGCUAACUACGUGCCAGCAGCCGCGGUAAUACGUAGGUCCCGAGCGUUGUCCGGAUUUAUUGGGCGUAAAGCGAGCGCAGGUGGUUUAUUAAGUCUGGUGUAAAAGGCAGUGGCUCAACCAUUGUAUGCAUUGGA